GGAGUUAUGUUCCAUAUGACCUAAGCUACCAGGUCUAAUGUUUCGAUCUUUGUUCCAUGAGAGAAAUUAGAGGCUUUUCUACAAGCUCCUCAUUGGCAGUGUCAAGGAAUUACUUCCUGUACUAUACACACCAAUUGCUGGUGAGGCUAGCCAACAGUAUGGUUCCAUAUUUAGUCACAUCAGGGUCUUUAUAUUAUCAGCUUGAAGGAUAAGUAAGUUGGCAAUGUGUCCAUGUUCACAAGUAUUUUACUUGGCUGUGCAGGCGAAUGAUACUUGAGGUGCUUGAGGUACUUCUUGGCUGGUCGGAGGAGUAGUGCAAAUAAGUCUAAUAGUCUAUACACUGGAGAGUUAAGAGGCUGAGAUCAAACUGGUAAGGAAGAUUCUAACAUAUAAACCAAUAUUUACUGGUGAAAAUAUGUUAGGCAAAUGGUACACUACUGCGAACUGGUCAAGAAGUAUGUAGCUUGGAUAGCUAAUUGUCGUCCUUGUUUCUGUUCUCUUUGGCCGUUGAGUUUGACAUUGCUGCAUGCACCAAUCUGUUUACCAGUCUAUUAUUACUACAGUAUCACUGGCUUGACUUAUUUGAGAUGUUCCUGAAUUAAGCUAUUUUGAGACCUGUUGGGUCCUUCAGAAUGAAGGUAUAAACAUGAUUCUCUGUCAAUAUCAAUGCUUCUCUGCCCUUCAUUUUUUAUGGAAUACUUUUACAUGGUCCUUUCUUGGCCCUUAAAUUACUUGAAAGUUUUUUAACUCAUUGCAUCUUUUCUCUACUGCAGCUGCCUGCGUGCUUUUGCACCAUUCAUCUAGAAGAAUAGAAAUUGUUGUGCCGCGGACGGCGAGUACCAUUUGAUACAAAAACAAGAAGAAUAGAAAUUGUGAUGUUGUGCUUGCCUAAAAAACCCCACCAUGAAUCGGUGACCAGAGCUAUGUUCUAUAUUUGUUUCUAAAAAUAUUUUUUUGAUCUAUUUAUUUUUCUCUUAAACAGUUGCAAAUUUGUCUCAGAUGUUUAGGCGUAUUUUUCUUGUCUUGGUCAGGGGCAACCCAGUUGGCUCACACAUUGGGUCUCCAUUCACGCUCAUCUUUCUUGCGUCAGGGCCAAUACUGAACCGCUUCUCUCUGACAAGGUAGUUUUAACAAAGUACUACAUCAGUUCGUUAUCUAAAAGAUGAUUUCUCCACUACUACAACUUGGAGCUGUAGAAGACCUCUGUAUCUUGCCAUGCUCAUGGAACACGCAAAGAACAAUCUCCUCUGCCCUAUCCAAGUUGCUUGCUGCUGAUGCAGGAAUGGAGCUUUGGGAGGAGAUGACAUGAGGUUGGUGGUAUGUGUGUGCUCCAUGUUGUGAAAAUAACUGUGUUCAUUUGAGUCUUAGUGCUGAUCUUAAAUGGCCAUCAAUUUGUUUGUUAACAUCGAGUAGCAGUUGCAAGCUUGCGUUUUGUAUUAUUUAAUUAAAGAAAUGCAGUUCUAUCAAACUACUAAGAAUCUAGAGCAGAUUUCCAAAUUGUAUAGGUUCUUGAUGUUUUCCCUUUUAAAAUAGUGAUGUAACUUCUUGCAUUACCACUUAAUCUUUGAUGAAUCAUACAUACUACAUAUAAGAGGACCAGAUGAAGGCAAGUAGGCUGAGUCACAUGCUAUUUGUAGUGUUUUUUUGUUCUCCUGAUGAUUUCGA